AGCCAUCCAUUUUGAUUGGUAAUAUAAAAACCCACAGCAAGCUCUUAAGGAGAUGACGAGAAAGAGAAUAUAAUAAACAAUUAUUAUCGUUACCUAGAAUAGAUCUGGUAAGGGUUGGAUUGGUAGAGGCUUGGAGAUGUGAGGAAUUCAUAUUUUGUCAUACAGAAAGCUCCUUGUUGAUUAAUUUUUGUGUAGUUCAUCAAAGGAGAAUUGAGUAUCGCGGUCAUUAAAGCAUCAAUUAUGGAUCAAUAAUAAUUAUCAAGACCAUCUAGAAAUUUUUAAAUGAGAUCUUCAUGGUCAAUAGGCUUACCAAGAGCAGCAAGUUCAUCAGUUCAAGUUUUAAUAGUCUACAUAUAUUCUGAAAUUGUCUUGUAAUCUUUUGUGGUUUCUCUUAGUUGAUCCUUGGUAUACUUGAUAUGACCACGAGAUGGUUGCGCAUAUGUAUUAAUUGUCCAAAAUCAUCCAUGCAACUUGAGAGAUGUGAGAAACAAUAGAAAGUAUAAUAGAAGAACCUUACAAUUUAAUUACAUGUUUGAAAAAGUAUUACCAACUUAUAUUAACACAUGAAUAAAUCUGUUAAGUUUUGAGAAAAUAUAUUUACCUCUUUCAUUUCACCUGUCUCCUAUUUCUCCCCAUCUUCGUCUCUCUUCCAUUUCUCUGGUUGGCUCCGCUUCAUUUCUCUGGUCAGCUAUUCAUUUCUCAUGACCACUCUUGAUCUAAAGCUCUCAUCGGCAUGGGUAAGUACUUUCCCAACUUCAAAUCUGUUUCACCUAUCUCUUUCUCCAAGUUUAAACCAAAUCCUCACUCUAGGUAUAUAUUUUCUUGCCUUUAAUUUAUCUUUUCUUUUUUCAUCCCUAAUUGAUUGAUUCAUGAUCAUUUUCUCUUAGCUAAUUUUAACAUUGCAAUCAUGAUAAUAGUGAUCUAGAGUUUCUCUGUAUAUAUGUUCAGAUUUAGUUAGCAUCUUAUCAAACCUUUGAUGCUUGGAAUGUGCAAUAUACAACCCAAAUUAUAGUGCAUGGACUUGACACUUUAUAGUAUAUUAGAAGAAAUUAAAGAAUUAGCAAAGUCUUCAUCAUUUAGAGUCUUGAGGUGGAAGGAAGAACAAAUAAUGAUGGUAAAACACCCAACAUUUGGAAUUCCCUUGCUCACGAACUGUGAUCAGUUGCUUUUGAUUUGAUGCAUAUGAAAGGGAAGGAGAUAACACUCUAACAGAAAAAGUGUGAUGAAGAUAACAACACAAGAUUUGGAUGCUUGCAAUUAAUAAAGAGAAAGCACAGGACAAAUGUUACAAUUUGUUUUUUAUUAGACUUGUUGUACAUUAUAUUAUGGCUACUUUUAUUAUGGUAUUUUGUACAUUUUUUUAGUCGGGACACAUGUAUUCGAUAUUUUGGUUAAUACAAGAAAAUACAUUAAACAUUAUCAGAUUCUAAUUA